UACGUAGGGCGCAAGCGUUGCCCGGAAUUAUUGGGCGUAAAGAGCUCGUAGGCGGUCUGUCGCGUCCGUUGUGAAAACUCGAGGCUCAACCCCGGGCCUGCAGCCGAUACGGGCAAGCUAGAAUUCGGUAGGGGAGACUGGAAUUCCUGGUGUAGCGGUGAAAUGCGCAGAUAUCAGGAGGAACACCGGUGGCGAAGGCGGGUCUCUGGGCCGAAAUUGACGCUGAGGAGCGAAAGCGUGGGGAGCAAACAGG
rnacentral:rRNA from 1 species